AUUGAACGCUGGCGGCAAGCCUAACACAUGCAAGUCGAACGAGUGGCGGACGGGUGAGUAAUGUCUGGGAAACUGCCUGAUGGAGGGGGAUAACUAGUGGAAACGGUAGCUAAUACCGCAUACCAUCGGAUGUGCCCAGAUGGGAUUAGCUAGUCGGUGGGGUAAAGGCUCACCUAGGGGACGAUGCCUAGCUGGCCUGAGAGGAUGAACGGCCACACUGGGACUGAGACACGGUCCAGACUCCUACGGGAGGCAGCAGUGGGGAAUAUUGCACAAUGGGCGAAAGCCUGAUGCAGCCAUGCCGCGUGUAUGAAGAAGGCCUUCGGGUUGUAAAGUACUUUCAGCAGGGAGGCGUUACCCGCAGAAGAAGCACCGGCUAACUCCGUGCCAGCCGCCGCGGUAAUUC
rnacentral:rRNA from 1 species